rnacentral:rRNA from 1 species
UACGAAGGGGGCGAGCGUUGUUCGGAUUUACUGGGCGUAAAGGGCGCGCAGGCGGCGCAUUUUGUCAGGCGUGAAAGCCCCGGGCUUAACCUGGGAACUGCGUUUGAUACGGAUGGGCUAGAGUUCGGGAGAGGAGAGUGGAAUUCCCAGUGUAGAGGUGAAAUUCGUAGAUAUUGGGAAGAACACCGGUGGCGAAGGCGGCUCUCUGGACCAGCACUGACACUGAGGCACGAAAGCGUGGGGAGCAAACAGG